rnacentral:rRNA from 1 species
GUAGGCUGAAACUCGCCUACAUGAAGCUGGAGUUACUAGUAAUCGCAGAUCAGAAUGCUGCGGUGAAUGCGUUCCCGGGUCUUGUACACACCGCCCGUCACACCACGGAAGUUGGGGGCGCCCGAAGCCACUUAGCUAACCCUUUUGGGAAGCGAGUGUCAAAGGUGAAAUCAAUAACUGGGGUGAAGUCGUAACAAGGUAUC